GACGAACGCUGGCGGCGUGCUUAACACAUGCAAGUCGAACGAGUGGCGAACGGGUGAGUAAUACGUGAGUAACCUGCCCUCUUUUGGGGAUAAGCCUUGGAAACGGGGUCUAAUACCGGCUAACGGGGUAUGGGCUCGCGGCCUAUCAGCUUGUUGGUGGGGUGAUGACGUACCAAGGCGGGGGCGGGUAGCCGGCAGGAGAGGGUGACAUGCCAAAUGGGACACGAGAUACGGCCCAGACGCCGACGGGAGGCGGCAGUUGGGGACAAUGCACAAUGGGCGAAAGCCGGAUGCAGGGACGAGUCGUGGGGGAUGAAGGCUUGUGGGUUGCAAACCUCUUUGGCUAUCGAACGGGUAGGUGGAGAAGAAGCGACGGCUAACUACGUGCCAGCAGCCGCGGUAAUAC
rnacentral:rRNA from 1 species